CCGCAGAUGGACACGCCCCCUAGUCAAAACCCCAAGUUUCGGGCUACAAUUGGCGGCUAAACACGCCGAGAGGCGUCCCCCAGAACGACAGAAUCGUGGUGUCCUAUGAACCUCCUGCAAAAAUUCGAAGCCGAACAAAUCACCGCAAGCUGCCUGACUUCGGUCCGGCGACACCGUCGUGGUCAACGUCAAAGUCAAAG
rnacentral:rRNA from 1 species